rnacentral:rRNA from 1 species
UACGGAGGGAGCUAGCGUUGUUCGGAAUUACUGGGCGUAAAGCGCGCGUAGGCGGCUUUGUAAGUUAGAGGUGAAAGCCCGGGGCUCAACUCCGGAAUUGCCUUUAAGACUGCAUCGCUAGAAUCAGGGAGAGGUGAGUGGAAUUCCGAGUGUAGAGGUGAAAUUCGUAGAUAUUCGGAAGAACACCAGUGGCGAAGGCGGCUCACUGGACCGGCAUUGACGCUGAGGUGCGAAAGCGUGGGGAGCAAACAGG